rnacentral:rRNA from 1 species
GUAGGGNGCAAGCGUUAUCCGGAUUUACUGGGUGUAAAGGGAGCGUAGACGGCUUUGCAAGUCUGACGUGAAACUCCGGGGCUCAACUCCGGAACUGCGUUGGAAACUGUGAGGCUUGAGUGCCGGAGAGGUAAGCGGAAUUCCUAGUGUAGCGGUGAAAUGCGUAGAUAUUACGAAGAACUCCGAUUGCGAAGGCAGCUCACUGGAGCGCAACUGACGCUGAAGCUCGAAAGUGCGGGUAUCGAACAGGAUUAGAUACCCUGGUAGUCCGCACGGUAAACGAUGGAUGCUCGCUGUUGGUCUGAACAGGUCAGCGGCCAAGCGAAAGCAUUAAGCAUCCCACCUGGGGAGU